GAAAAACUGUUGAACACUGACAGAGACAGUUCAACUUUCCAGGAAGAAUUAUUUUAUUUUUCGAUUCACUGAUCUCUCUACCAUAUUUGGAACAGGAUGUUUUUUAUGCAACAGUGUGUGGAGGACAAAGACACUUUUGUUGUAUUCUUAUGUCUUUGAUUUUUUCUCUUUGGUCCUCUCUCUUGUCUAUUGUCUUGUAUUUUCUUUCCAACUUUUCUCCAACCAAUAGCCAAUCUCUAUUGGCUCAUCUUCCACCCUUCCUGUGAAUUUUUACUUCUAGCUUCUCUCUUCCUCCCUCACAAAUACUGCAUACUAUACUACCUCUGUUCUCUCAUCCACC
rnacentral:lncRNA from 1 species